rnacentral:tmRNA from 1 species
GGGGACGAUUUUGGAUUCGACGGGCUUGUGAAGGAUGUACACUGCAAUCCGGGAUUUUCGGUUACCCCGUAAUUAGCCGGAAAGCACUAAUAAGUGCCGAUAAUAAUUACGCACUGGCAGCUUAAUUGACUGUCACGUUUCAUCUUUCUCUAAUUCACCGGGGAUUUUUGAAACGCCAUUUUAGGUGGAUUGAGCUUGAUUCAUGUCUGUGGCUUUAAGUUCAUAAUUUAACAGGCUGGUCUUCUGGUUGGUCAGUUGCUUAACCUGCCGGCAGAUAAGAUUUAAUAGGCGACUAUGAUUGUAGACGUUUACGUUGGUCCUUGUCCGGACCCGGGUUCAACUCCCGGCGUCUCCACAA